rnacentral:rRNA from 1 species
UCCAAGGCCGAAAACAAUGCGGCCGUGGAACGCACCGAGCGAGAGAAGCAGGAGGCGCGGGUGGAAGAGGUGCGGCAAGAGCUCCAGGUUCUUGUGGAAAAACACGAGAGUUUGGAGCGUGACUCGAAGACUCGAGAGUCCGAGCUCGCCCUGGCUCUUGAGAGUGCCAAAGCCGCUAAGGCCGAAGCCCAAAAAGCCCUCCAGGAAAUUGAGACAAUAAAGAAGAUAGCAGCGGGAGCAGUCGCAGAUCUGCCCCGCAGUGUGUGCGAUGCUACCGCAUUCUACUGGGCUGAGGAAGGGAGCUCGACGAAGAAGGUAUUCUGGUCUCAGUAUGCUGAGGCCGGACAUCCGGUGCCCCUGAGCGACCAGCUGAAGCAGCUGGUCGAGCUCCACAAGGUGGCCGAACAGGCCAUGAAGGGCCUCAUAGUUCGGCUGUGGCCUAAAGAAGCCAUGACUAGGAGCUACUUCAGUCUGGUGCGGCGGCUGGUGGACGCCUGUCCGUGGAUUGAAGUCAUCAAGCAUUCCGUCUGCAUUGAAGGUGCCCGUCGGGCCCUUGCUCGCGCUAAAGUGCACUGGGGCAAGAUGGACGCCGAGAAGCUUGUGACGGACGCGCCACCGCCGGUCAAGGAGUAUCGCACGCCCGAGAUGUACUAUAAGGGUGUCCUGAAGGGUGCCCGCCUUAUAGCGGGUGAAUGCUCCAAAGAUGUAAUUUUUGAGUAG